GUUUGCCUCUUCACCUCUUUUGUAACUCCCAUUCCAUUAAGUGAGGGGGGAUAAAUUUGCGGCCUCGCUUGGCAUUAAAGCAAACUCUGGCGGGGGACCCAGGCGACGAACAGUGCAGACCGUGGCGCAGAAAGAUCUUAUUUUUCUCGCCGCAAUCGAUAACUAUGGCGUUCGAAUUUAGUUGGGUUUCGCUUAUGAAGGUUUCGCUAUUUCUGCUGCUGAUUGGGGCUAUUUUAGUUGCUUGCUUCACCCUCCCUGUCGAGAAGAGCAGAUACUCGUGAAAUGAAGCUUAACCUGGGCGUUGGUGCCUAUCGGACUGAAGAUCUACAGCCGUAUGUGCUCGAUGUUGUGAAGAAAAAUUUGUAGGCAGAAAAUCUUAUUAUGCAAAAGGGAGAGAACAAAGAGUACUAUCUGCCAAUCGAAGGUUUGGCUGCAUUCAACAAGACUACAGCUGAACUAUUAUUUGGAGCAGAAAGCUCUGUUCCUCAGCAACAAAAAGUAAUGGAUGAAGUCCUAUUCUUGUGACUAAGAAUUAAGAAUCUCCAAUUAUCCAAGUUGAAGUAAAUAUAAUCAUAUCAGAAUUAGAAUAUUGUAAUAAUGCUAUUUAAAAAUUACAUUUAAUGUUACCGCUGUUAUGUAAU